rnacentral:rRNA from 1 species
UCACCUGUUUUUCAAAAACAUGUCUUAUAGAUUAUAAUUUUAAGUCAAAUCUGCUCAAUGAUAAAUUAAAUAGCUGCAGUAUUAAUAACUGUACAAAGGUAGCAUAAUAAUUAGUUUUUUAAUUAAAAACUAGAAUGAAAGAUUUAAUGAAAUAUAAACUGUCUCAAAUUUAAAAAAUAAAAUUUUUUUUUAAAUAAAAAAACUUAAAUUUAAUUUAAAGACGAGAAGACCCUAAAGAAUUUUUAUUAUAAUUUUAUAAAUUUAUAAUUAUAAAUAAUUAUAAUUUUAAUUGGGGAAAUUUUAAAAUUUAAAAAAUUUUUAAUUAUAUAAACAAUUAUUUUUGAAUAAAAAAUUUUUUUUUAAAAAAAUAAAUUAAAUUACCUUAGGGAUAACAGCAUAAUUUUUUUAAAAAGUUCAAAUUUAUAAAAAAGUUUAUGACCUCG